GUUCGCUUCAGCAGCACAUGUACUAAAAUUGAAACGAUGCAGAGAAGAUUAGCAUGACCCCUGCGCAAGGAUGACAUGUAAAUCCAUGGAGUGUUCCACAUUUUA